UGAGCAGGUCUCCUUAUCGCUGUGUGUCGAAUUUAUUCAGGUGCACAGAGGAAAGUCCGGACACCAUAGUGCGGCAUAGCGGGUAACGCCCGUCGUCCCGCUUCUGGCGGGAUAGGACCAGUGCAACAGAAAGGAUGUACAGGUGAAGCUGUAGUGAAAUCAUGUAAACUCUAUGCGGUGAAACGUCAUGUAAAUCGGUGCUUGAGGGCUGCACGCCCGAGCCGAAGGGUAGGCGGUUUGAGCUUAUGGGCAACCAUUGGCCUAGAUAAAUGAUAGGGGAGUCCCAUUGGGACUUUACAGAAUCCGGCUUACGGCCUGCUUUUUUU
rnacentral:RNase_P_RNA from 1 species